GAUGAAGAACGUAGCGAAAUGCGAUAAGUAAUGUGAAUUGCAGAAUUCAGUGAAUCAUCGAAUCUUUGAACGCACAUUGCGCCCGUCAGUAUUCUGGCGGGCAUGCCUGCUCGAGCGUCAUUACGCCCCUCAAGUCCCCUGUGGACUUGGUGUUGGGGAUCGGCGAGGCUGGUUUUCCAGCACAGCCGUCCCUUAAAUUAAUUGGCGGUCUCGCCGUGGCCCUCCUCUGCGCAGUAGUAAAACACUCGCAACAGGAGCCCGGCGCGGUCCACUGCCGUAAAACCCCCCAACUUUUUAUAGUUGACCUCGAAUCAGGUAGGACUACCCGCUGAACUUAAGCAUAUCAAUAAGCGGAGGA
rnacentral:misc_RNA from 1 species